rnacentral:rRNA from 1 species
GACGAACGCUGGCGGCGUGCUUAACACAUGCAAGUCGAACGGAAAGGCCCUGCUUUUUUGGGGUGCUCGAUUGGCUAACGGGUGUGUAACACGUGAGUAUCCUGCCCUUGACUUUGGGAUAUCUUCAUGAAACUGGGUCUAAUACCGGAUAGGAGCUCCUGCUUCAUUGUUUUGGUUGGAAAUUUUCGGCGUUUGGGGAUGGACUCGCUGCUUAUCAGCUUGUUUGUGGGGUAGUGGCUUACCAAGGCUUUGACGGGUAGCCGGCAUGAGAGGGUGACCGGAGACAUUGGGACUGAGAUACGGCACAGAAUCAAAAGGGAGGCAGCAGUGGGGAAGAGUGCAAAAUGGGAGGAAGCCUGAUGCAGAAACGCCGCGUGCGGGAUGACGGCAUUAGGGUUGUAAAAAGAUGUAGCAUGUGACGAAGAGUGAGUGACGGUAAUGGGUAAAGAAGCAACGGCUAACUACGUG